AGAAGUCAGGCCGGAUUAAGCCAUAGUACGGUAAGAGCUAUGCUGCCUGUGAGCCCCGUCCAAGGACGUAAAAUGAAGUCAGGCCGAAAGCCACGGCUUGAGCAAACCGUGCUGCCUGUAGCUCCAUCGUGGGGAUGUAAAAACCUGGGAGGCUGCAACCCAUGGAAGCUGUACGCAUGGGGUAGCAGACUAGUGGUUAGAGGAGACCCCUCCCGAAACAUAACGCAGCAGCGGGGCCCAACACCAGGGGAAGCUGUACCCUGGUGGUAAGGACUAGAGGUUAGAGGAGACCCCCCGCAUAACAAUAAACAGCAUAUUGACGCUGGGA
rnacentral:lncRNA from 1 species